rnacentral:rRNA from 1 species
AACGAACGCUGGCGGCAGGCCUAACACAUGCAAGUCGAACGCGCGUAGCAAUACGCGAGUGGCGCACGGGUGAGUAAUACGUGGGAAUCAACCCUGAGGUUCGGAAUAACCGCGGGAAACUGCGGCUAAUACCGGAUGUCCCCUACGGGGGACAGAUUUAUCGCCUUGGGACGAGCCCACGUCCGAUUAGCUAGUUGGUGAGGUAACGGCUCACCAAGGCUACGAUCGGUAGCUGGUCUGAGAGGACGACCAGCCACACUGGAACUGAGACACGGUCCAGACUCCUACGGGAGGCAGCAGUGGGGAAUAUUGGGCAAUGGAGGCAACUCUGACCCAGCCAUGCCGCGUGGGUGACGAAGGUCUUCGGAUUGUAAAGCCCUUUCGGCGGGGACGAUGAUGACGGUACCCGCAGAAGAAGCCCCGGCUAACUUCGUGCCAGCCGCCGCCGUAACAC